GGGUCAGUAGGUUGGUCGUGCCACCGGUACGUACCGGUCUCACUGAUUCCUCCUUCCUGAAGAACCGUAAUGCCAUUAAUUUGGUGUUGCGGGGAAACAGGACUGUUACUUUGAAAAAAUUAGAGUGUUUAAAGCAAGCUAACGCUUGAAUACACUAGCAUGGAAUAAUGAAAUAGGACGAUCGAUCCUAUUUUGUUGGUUUCUAGGAUUGACGUA
rnacentral:rRNA from 1 species